rnacentral:rRNA from 1 species
UACGUAGGGUGCGAGCGUUAAUCGGAAUUACUGGGCGUAAAGCGUGCGUAGACGGUUAUGUAAGUCAGGUGUGAAAGCCCCGGGCUCAACCUGGGAACUGCAUUUGUGACUGCAUGGCUAGAGUGUGUCAGAGGGGGUAGAAUUCCACGUGUAGCAGUGAAAUGCGUAGAUAUGUGGAGGAAUACCGAUGGCGAAGGCAGCCCCCUGGGAUAACACUGACGCUCAUAGCCACGAAAGCGUGGGGAGCAAACAGG